CAAGCCUUGGUUUUCAGCUCCAUCAGCCCUUUUAAGGACUUCUCUGCAUUCGUUAUUCUAGGUAUCCAUUCGUCUAAUCAACUCUGUGGAUUUAUUAUAGUACUCAACUCCCUUGAGGCUUUUAGAGGAAAAGCAAACAUGACUUUUCACUCAGGGUUCAUGAAGAUUUCAUUAAGAACAUAGGAGUUCUUCAAGCUUGAAAAUAGCAAAGAGAUUCUUUGAACAUGAUUAAAUCAAUUCAAUUCAAUGCUCAUGUGACAGCUGCUGCAUCAACACAGUUGAUCAUCACCACAGCUCCUGAUUUUAUUCCUACAUUUCUGACCAUUCCUUUUCAGUCUCUUUUAUUAUCUCCAUAGUGAUGAUGUCAAGAUUUGUAGUACCAGUUCAGACUUUGCUUCUGAAUUUCAAGCCUAGAUUUCCAAUACUCCUCCCUCUUUUCACUUGGAUGUUUAAUAGGCAUCUCGAAGGUAUUAAGUCCAGAAAUUAGCUCCUGAAAUUCUACCCACCCAAAUUCUGCUCUUUCUCAGUAGUUUAAUUCUCCCAGUUAUUUGGGUUCUCAAAUUAUUUUAUCAUCCUUAUUUCUUCUCUUUCUCUCACACACAUCCAAUCUACCCACAAAAUCUGUUGGUUCUACCCUCAAAACAUAUUUAGAAUAUAACCACUUUUACUCUACCCUUAGUCUAAACUAUCAUUAUUUCUUUUUGUUUGGAUUAUUGCAGUGAUGUCCUAACCAAUCUCCCUGAAAAAUUAUCUGUGAAAUUUAUUUCUAUACAUCCAACAAGCACAAUGAACUCUAGGUAGAAUAAAUUCAGUGAGGUCCACAUCAAGAACAUUGUAAUCAAACUGUUGAAUGUCAAAGACAGAGAAUCUUGAAAGCAACAAGAAAGAAUCAACUAUCAUGUACAAGGGAACCUUAGUAAGAUGAACAGUUGGCUAUUUAUCAGGAACUAUGGAAGCCAGAAAACAGUGGGCAUAUUUAAAGUGCUGAAAGAAAAGAACCUAUCAACCAAGAAUUCUGUAUCUGGCAAAAUUGCCCUUCAAAAGUGAGGAAGAAAUUGAGAUAUUCCCAAUAAACAAAAGCUGAGGGGUUCACUACAAGUAGACCUGCCCUGCAAGAAAUGCUACAAGAUGUCCUCAAGUUGAAAUGAAAGGACACUAAAUGGUAACUUGAAGCUGUAUGAAGAAAUAAAGGUCUACAGUAAAGUGCGUCUAGAGUGUUGACAGUUGUUUCCAUGGACUUCAAAUCAACCCAACCCUGUGAGCACAGACUUUCAGCACCAGAGUCAGAUUUCCCAAAAAUGCUAUUCUUGAAGCGUAGAGCCAGACUCACAGAUCCUGUAAAGAAAACAGAUCUUUCAGCAAGUGAAACACCCAAUCUUCCAUUGCAUGGGACUCACAGAGGUUCUGAGGGAGAGAUGUGAAUAGAAGGAGUGAUCAUCACUGUGGACUCUAUUUCUUCCAUCUGUGCGUGCAAGAUUUAUAUCUGUAUGUGUUUGUUUUAAAGUUUUAUUGAGGUAUAAUUGAUACACAAUAAUCUGUACCUAUUUAAUGUAUACAAUUUGAUGAGUUUGGACAUACUUAAAUACCUGUGAAACCAUCACCACAAUCAAGGUAAUAGACAUAGCCAUCACCUCCAAAAGUUUCUUUGUGUCCCUUUGUGGUUUGUUUCUGAGAUAAGAACACUUAACAUGUGGACUCUUGACACUCUCCUUGGAUCUCUUAAUUUGAUUGCUGUUGCUGUCACCACAUUGACUUCCUAGCCCUGCUGAUCCUCCUUUAUCACUAGCUCUAGAAAAAAAAACAAACCAAACACCACUAAUUCAUUUAUUCAGUAAUUCAACAAAAAAACCAUUGAGCACUUAAUAUUUGCAGAAUACAUGGCUAGAUGCAGAG
rnacentral:lncRNA from 10 species